rnacentral:rRNA from 1 species
GAUGAACGCUGGCGGCGUGCCUAAUACAUGCAAGUCGAGCGAACAGACGAGGAGCUUGCUCCUCUGACGUUAGCGGCGGACGGGUGAGUAACACGUGGAUAACCUACCUAUAAGACUGGGAUAACUUCGGGAAACCGGAUCUAAUACCGGAUAAUAUAUUGAACCGCAUGGUUCAAUAGUGAAAGACGGUUUUGCUGUCACUUAUAGAUGGAUCCGCGCCGCAUUAGCUAGUUGGUAAGGUAACGGCUUACCAAGGCGACGAUGCGUAGCCGACCUGAGAGGGCGAUCGGCCACACUGGAACUGAGACACGGCCCAGACUCCUACGGGAGGCAGCAGUGGGGAAUCUUGCGCAAUGGGGGAAAGCCUGACGGAGCAACGCCGCGUGAGGGAUGAAGGCCUUCGGAUCGUAAAACUCUUUUGUUAGGGAAGAACAAAUGUGGAAGUAAAUAUCGAGGUCUUGACGGUACCGGAUCAAAAAGCAACGGCUAACUACGUG